AUUAGGAUCUUGGCAGGAGUUUAAGUGCAGCUCUCCAUCUUUCCUGGGUUCUUCCUGGGAAUUUGGGGAAAGAGAGUUGAGCGUUAGGAUGUGCUAAGCUAGACAAACAGGAAGGAAAUGUGGGGUUUUGCCAGCCAUCACCUUAGAGUAGGUGACAGCAAAUCUGAACUGCGGAGCCUCUCAGGGAGAUAAGUGGAACCCAGAGAAGCACAGGACAGACAAGUAACCCUUUCCACCCCUUUGGCUUUGGAGCUCAGAGCACCUGGUAAUGGGAAGCUGGGGCUUCCCUGGUGGCACAGUGCUUGAGAAUCCACCUGCCAACGCGGGUUCAAUCCCUGGUCCAGGAAGAUCCCACAUGCCGCGGAGCAGCUGAGCCCGUGUGCCACAACUACUGAGCCUGUGCUCUAGAGCCCAUGAGCCACAACUACCGAGCCCCCAAGCCACAACUACUGAAGCCCGCGUGCUCUAGGUCCUGCGUGCUGCAACUACUGAGCCUGCGUGCUGCAACUACUGGAGGCCAUGUGCCUGGAGCCCGUGCUCCACAACAAGAAAAGUCACUGCAGUGAGGGGCCCGCACACAGCAACGAAGAGUAGCCCCCGCUCACCACAACUAGAGAAAGCCCGCACACAGCAACAAAGACCCGACGCAGCCAAAAAUAAAUAAAUAAAUAAAAAUAAAGUCCCUGAGAAGAAGAGGAUAUUAUCCCUGCUUCACAGAGAAGAAUUGACUCCGAGAAGUUAGGAAAGUCCUAGGAGCCUGGAGAGAUGUCCCAGACGGGACAGCUGUCAGAUAUCAGGACCCUUCUUUUCCUGUUAGAAUUCAUUCCACUGAUUUUCAGGGCUUCUCUGGUGGUGCAGUGGUUAAGAAUCUGCCUGCCAAUGCAGGGGACAUGGGUUUGAGCCCUGGACCAGGAAGAUCCCACGUGCCGCGGAGCAACUAAGCCCGUGCGCCACAACUACUGAGCCUGUGCUCUAGAGCCCGCAAGCCACAACUACUGAGCCCAUGUGCCACAACUACUGAAGCCUGUGCACCUAGAGCCUGGGAUCCACAACAAGAUAAGCCACCACAAUGAGAAGCCUGUGCACCGCAACGAAUAGUAGCCCCCGCUCGCCGCAACUAGAGAAAGCUUGCGCGCAGAAACGAAUACCCAAUGCGGCCCAAAAUAAAUAAUAAAAUAAAAUAAAUAAAUUUAUAUAAAAAAAACUUGCUGUAAAUUUAAAAAUUAAAGGCAAAGGAAUACACAAAUAGAUCAAUAGAAUCCUUAAUCAUAGACAGCCCAGAAACGUACCCAGGAGUAUAUGGGAACUCAGCGUAUGACUAGCAAUAUAAAGUAGUGGGGAAUGAUUAACUAUUUAAUAAAUGGUGCUGUGAAAAGCAGUUGUCCAUAAAAAAAUGGAUCCCCACCUCAAUUAUCCCCAUGGUCUAGUCUUUUGCACUGAACUGCUCCAGGCCUAUUUUUUUUUCUCUGUGGUAACUCCAGGGCCUGGUGUCUACUAGGUGGUGAGUAAAUAUUUGUUGAAUGAAGACCUCAGUCCUGGGAGAUACGCUGUGGAUCGGAGGAUUUCCGUGAUCCGUGCUGUUGCCGAGGUUUGGAGCCAGGGAGCUGAGUCCCGAGUCCACCCUCUUUUCUGUUCCUCAUCAGCUGAGCUAAUGCAACCGUCACACUGACUUCUGACGGCAAAGAAACAAACUCAAUGAUGAGUGAUGAGUAAUGCGAGAUUAUCCUGACUUCAUUCAGUGGCUGACAGAGCUCCCUUGAAGAUUUGCAGGAACAGAAUUUGUGGCUGUUUGUUCUUCCUAAGGUUAUUACAAGUGGGACAGGGAAGUAGGAGUUGAGGGGGGUCAAGGAGGAAAUAAUAAUGUAGAAAUAAAUGAUGGACCCCAAAUUACAGAUUAUAUGCACAUAAAGUAUGCAUUACAGAUACGUGUGUAAUAGAGAAAGCCCGCGCGCAGCAACGAAGACCCAAUGCAGCCAAAAAUAAAUAAAUAAAUUUAUUUAAAAAAUAAC